AUACUUAGCUGGCAGGGGAGAUACCAUGAUCACUAAGGCGGUUCUCCCAGGGCGAGGCUCAUCCAUUGCACUCCGGGUGUGCUGACCCCUGCGAUUUCCCCAAAUGCGGGAAACUCGACUGCAUAAUUUGUGGUAGUGGGGGACUGUGUUCGCGCUCUCCCCUG
rnacentral:snRNA from 1 species